CCUACGGGAGGCAGCAGUGAGGAAUAUUGGUCAAUGGGCGAGAGCCUGAACCAGCCAAGUCGCGUGAGGGAGUACUGCCCUAUGGGUUGUAAACCUCUUUUGUCGGGGAGCAAAAGCCGGACGUGUCCGGCUGUGAGAGUACCCGAAGAAAAAGCAUCGGCUAACUCCGUGCCAGCAGCCGCGGUAAUACGGAGGAUGCGAGCGUUAUCCGGAUUUAUUGGGUUUAAAGGGUGCGCAGGCGGAUUUUUAAGUCAGCGGUCAAAUCGUGGGGCUCAACCCCAUCCAGCCGUUGAAACUGGGGAUCUAGAGUGUGCGAGAGGUAUGCGGAAUGCGUGGUGUAGCGGUGAAAUGCAUAGAUAUCACGCAGAACCCCGAUUGCGAAGGCAGCAUACCGGUGCACAACUGACGCUCAGGCACGAAAGCGUGGGUAUCGAACAGGAUUAGAUACCCCAGUAGUC
rnacentral:rRNA from 1 species